UUACGGUCAUAUCCCGUUGAAACACCAGUUCCUGUAUGAUCACUGAAGUUAAGCAAUGUCAGACCUGGUCAGUAAUUAGAUGGGUAACCGCUUGGGAAUAUCAGGUGUUGUAA